AUAAUGAUGAUAAUGAUGGUGAUGAUGGUGGUGAUGAUGAUGGUGAUGAUGGUGAUGAUGAUAAUGAGGAUGAUUCAUCACCAUCAUCACCAUCAUCACCAUCAUCACCAUCAUCAUCAUCACCAUCA